UUCAAAUAGGGCAGUUGGCUGUUGAAAAGUUGGGCCAGCAACUAAUGGUAAUCAUAUAUCCACAAGAACAAAGGCUGGUCGGGGGCGAAAAAAGGAAAAGAAAAGUGGGUUGGUGCUAGGUUUUAUGUAUAUAGAUAUCCACGCAUACAGAGAAGAAGAGGAGGGGGCAGCCAAUUUUCUCAUAUACACACAGACGAGAGCUGCUUGGGCUACAAGGGAGGAAACAUCAAACAAGGUCGGCAACUGCUGAAAUAUAUAUACAAAUCGGCGGCUACAAAGGAGGAGACAAGAACAAGCAAAAGAAAAAAAAAACGAGGAGGCUGCCGGAAAUUGGUUUGUUAAUUGGAAGAACAUUACAAGUGACUGAAUUGGAUUCUCUAACCAAAAGAAUUGCUGUCUCUGUAAUGCACACAACAAAGGAGGCUGAAUUAAUCAUAUAAAAACACAAAAAAAAGAGGCAGCUUCUGGGAUAGUUCAGCAGUUUGAGGAAAUAAAGAAAAACAUGGGCUGCAACAUAUAUAUUUACACA
rnacentral:lncRNA from 1 species